UCUUCCUCAAUGGGCGAAAGCCUGACGGAGCAAUGCCGCGUGAGUGAAGAAGGCCUUCGGGUCGUAAAACUCUGUUAUAAGAGAAGAACAAAUUGUAGAGUAACUGCUACAGUCUUGACGGUAUCUUAUCAGAAAGCCACGGCUAACUACGUGCCAGCAGCCGCGGUAAUACGUAGGUGGCAAGCGUUGUCCGGAUUUAUUGGGCGUAAAGGGAGCGCAGGUGGUUUCUUAAGUCUGAUGUGAAAGCCCACGGCUUAACCGUGGAGGGUCAUUGGAAACUGGGAAACUUGAGUACAGAAGAGGAAUGUGGAACUCCAUGUGUAGCGGUGGAAUGCGUAGAUAUAUGGAAGAACACCAGUGGCGAAGGCGACAUUCUGGUCUGUUACUGACACUGAGGCUCGAAAGCGUGGGGAGCAAACAGG
rnacentral:rRNA from 1 species